GACGAACCGUGCGAACGUUAUUCGGAAUCACUGGGCUUAAAGGGCGCGUAGGCGGGUCGGUAAGUCCGGGGUGAAAUCCCACGGCCCAACCGUGGAAGUGCCUCUGAUACUGCCGGCCUCGAGGGGGAUAGGGGCGUGCGGAACUCAGGGUGGAGCGGUGAAAUGCGUUGAUAUCAUCAGGAACACCGGUGGCGAAAGCGGCUUACUGGGUCUCUUCUGACGCUGAGGUACGAAAGCUAGGGGAGCGAACGGG
rnacentral:rRNA from 1 species